rnacentral:misc_RNA from 1 species
GUCUUUUUGAUAUGCUUGUGAACAACCAGGCCCCCUACUUCACGCAAAAAUUUCCUUCAAAAUUUGGUAUUAGGUUACUGUUUGGAAAAAAAAAAAAAAAAAAAAACACAAUGACAAGAGCUUCGUAAAGGCACCACGGUCCCCUACACAUCACCACCCAUCAUUGUCANUGGUCUUCAAAGUACCACCACCACCACCACCAUAGAUGUAGCGCUUGGCACGAGGCAACACUGUUGGUACCUAUCUGGCCUCCAGAUGUUACCGAGGGACUAAGAUCCUUUGGAAUCUAGUCGCCAUCCAAAC